rnacentral:rRNA from 1 species
AACCUUUACACUGCACGCCAGUGCGAUAAGGGGAUCCCGAGUGCGCAGGCAUAGAGCCUGCGCUUUUCUGAACUGUAGGGAGGUUCAGGAACAAGAGCUGGGCAAGACCGGUGCCAGCCGCCGCGGUAAUACCGGCAGCUCGAGUGAUGGCCGAUCUUAUUGGGCCUAAAGCGUCCGUAGCUGGCCGUGCAAGUCCGUCGGGAAAUCCACCCGCUCAACGGGUGGGCGUCCGGCGGAAACUGCAGGGCUUGGGACCGGGAGGCUUGAAGGGUACGUCCGGGGUAGGAGUGAAAUCCCGUAAUCCUGGACGGACCACCGAUGGCGAAAGCACCUCAGAAGGACGGAUCCGACAGUGAGGGACGAAAGCUAGGGUCUCGAACCGGAUUAGAUACCCGGGUAGUCCUAGCCGUAAACGAUGCUCGCUAGGUGUGGCACAGGCUACGAGCCUGUGCUGUGCCGUAGGGAAGCCGUGAAGCGAGCCGCCUGGGAAGUACGUCUGCAAGGAUGAAACUUAA